rnacentral:rRNA from 1 species
UGGGGAAUAUUGCACAAUGGGCGAAAGCCUGAUGCAGCAACGCCGCGUGAGUGAUGAAGGUCUUCGGAUUGUAAAGCUCUGUCUUUUGGGACGAUAAUGACGGUACCAAAGGAGGAAGCCACGGCUAACUACGUGCCAGCAGCCGCGGUAAUACGUAGGUGGCGAGCGUUGUCCGGAUUUACUGGGCGUAAAGGGUGCGUAGGCGGAUGUUUAAGUGAGAUGUGAAAUACCCGGGCUUAACUUGGGUGCUGCAUUUCAAACUGGAUAUCUAGAGUGCAGGAGAGGAGAAUGGAAUUCCUAGUGUAGCGGUGAAAUGCGUAGAGAUUAGGAAGAACACCAGUGGCGAAGGCGAUUCUCUGGACUGUAACUGACGCUGAGGCACGAAAGCGUGGGUAGCAAACAGGAUUAGAUACCCUGGUAGUCCACGCCGUAAACGAUGAGUACUAGGUGUAGGAGGUAUCAACCCCUUCUGUGCCGCAGUAAACACAUUAAGUACUCCGCCUGGGAAGUACGAUCGCAAGAUUAAAACUCUAAAGUGAAUUGAC